UACGGGGGGGGCAAGCGUUGUUCGGAAUUACUGGGCGUAAAGGGCGCGUAGGCGGUUCGAUAAGUCAGCUGUGAAAACCAUGGGCUUAACUCAUGGCCUGCAGUUGAGACUGUCGGGCUGGAGUGUGGGAGAGGAGAGUGGAAUUCCUGGUGUAGCGGUGAAAUGCGUAGAUAUCAGGAGGAACACCGGUGGCGAAGGCGGCUAUCUGGACGGUUUCUGACACUAAGACUCGAAAGCGUGGGGAGCAAACAGG
rnacentral:rRNA from 1 species